UUUGAAAGGCAAGUCUGGUGCCAGCAGCCGCGGUAAUUCCAGCUCCAAUAGCGUAUAUUAAACUUGUUGCAGUUAAAAAGCUCGUAGUUGAAUUUCAGCGUUUCGAUGUGGUCGCUUUUUGCUUCCUGUUCGUUUCGCCUUUUGUAUUACUUUGAGAAAAUUAGAGUGUUUCAAGCAGACUUUUGUCUUGAAUAGUGUAACAUGGAAUAAUAUAGUAGGACGGCUUUCCUAUUUUGUUGGUUUGCGAAUGCC
rnacentral:rRNA from 1 species